rnacentral:piRNA from 1 species
UNGGAGAGGCUAAUCAGAUGGUCCCGUCC